rnacentral:rRNA from 1 species
GACAGAGGGUGCAAACGUUGCUCGGAAUCACUGGGCGUAAAGGGCGUGUAGGCGGGAAGGAAAGUCAGAUGUGAAAUCCCUGGGCUCAACCCAGGAACUGCAUUUGAAACUCCCUUUCUUGAGUACCGGAGAGGAAGGUGGGAUACCUGGUGUAGAGGUGAAAUUCGUAGAUAUCAGGUGGAACACCAGUGGCGAAGGCGGCCUUCUGGACGGUAACUGACGCUGAGACGCGAAAGCGUGGGGAGCAAACAGG